UACGUAGGGUGCAAGCGUUGUCCGGAAUUAUUGGGCGUAAAGAGCUCGUAGGCGGUUUGUUGCGUCGGCUGUGAAAUCCCGAGGCUCAACCUCGGGUCUGCAGUCGAUACGAGCAAACUAGAGUGUUGCAGGGGAGACUGGAAUUCCUGGUGUAGCGGUGAAAUGCGCAGAUAUCAGGAGGAACACCGGUGGCGAAGGCGGGUCUCUGGGCAACAACUGACGCUGAAGCACGAAAGCGUGGGGAGCAAACAGG
rnacentral:rRNA from 1 species